CUCUGGCGAGAGCAGAAGCUACACAUCGGACAGUGGUUGUACUCACGUGACGUGUCCAGAAAAUGACUACCAGGUUGAUUGCCACCUUGGGACGUGUACCUGUACACAUUUGACAGCAACGUGCACCUCACAAUCACAAUGUCAAGACAGUGAUUACCAUAGGACAAUGCACUGUGUGGAUGGCAAAUGUAGAUGUGGAUACGGCGGUUUUUUACCUGGCAUUGGCAAAUAAACCCAUGUCUAGUUAAAGUUUACUGAUAUUUAUGUCCUGACUCUUUUCAGAAAUAAUAAAUAUUUUUAAAAUUA